rnacentral:rRNA from 1 species
AUUGAACGCUGGCGGCAGGCCUAACACAUGCAAGUCGAACGGUAACAGGAAGAAGCUUGCUUCUUUGCUGACGAGUGGCGGACGGGUGAGUAAUGUCUGGGAAACGCCCUGUGGGAGGGGGGUAACUACUGGAAACGGUACCUAAAACCCCAUAACGUCCCAAAACCAAAAAGGGGGACCUUCGGGCCCCUUGCCACCGAAUUUGCCCAGAUGGGAUUAGCUAGUAGGUGGGGUAACGGCUCACCUAGGCGACGAUCCCUAGCUGGUCUGAGAGGAUGACCAGCCACACUGGAACUGAGACACGGUCCAGACUCCUACGGGAGGCAGCAGUGGGGAAUAUUGCACAAUGGGCGCAAGCCUGAUGCAGCCAUGCCGCGUGUAUGAAGAAGGCCUUCGGGUUGUAAAGUACUUUCAGCGGGGAGGAAGGGAGUAAAGUUAAUACCUUUGCUCAUUGACGUUACCCGCAGAAGAAGCACCGGCUAACUCCGUG